UACGUAGGCAGCAAGCGUUGUUCGGAGUUACUGGGCGUAAAGGGUGUGUAGGCGGUUCUUUAAGUUUGGUGUGAAAUCUCCCAGCUUAACUGGGAGGGUGGCAUUGAUACUGCGGGGCUAGAGUACAGAUGAGGUAGGCGGAAUUGACGGUGUAGCGGUGAAAUGCUUAGAUAUCGUCAAGAACACCUAUAGCGAAGGCAGCUUACUAGGCUGUAACUGACGCUGAGGCACGAAAGUGUGGGGAUCAAACAGG
rnacentral:rRNA from 1 species